CAUUAUUCCACCUGACCGUUUGAUCUUUUCUUGAAUGGGUUCCCACGUGGCUGUUAGGUGAGAUACGAACCGUGACAUGUAGUUCAAUCUACCUAGGAGACCACGAACCUCUCUUUCCGUUCUCGGUUCAGGCAUUUCUUGUUUUUUUUUUUUAAGCAGGAUCAACCUCGAUUCCUCUCUUACAAUGAACCCCAACAUCUUACCGGACCGCACUCUGAAAGUGCACUUAUUUGAAUUCAACCUCAGUUUGAAUUGUCUCAACUGGUCCACUCAGCUUG
rnacentral:lncRNA from 1 species